UACAGAGGGUGCGAGCGUUAAUCGGAAUUACUGGGCGUAAAGCGCGCGUAGGCGGCUUUGCAAGUCGGGUGUGAAAUCCCCAGGCUUAACCUGGGAACUGCAUUCGAGACUGCAUUGCUAGAGUAUGGGAGAGGGAAGUGGAAUUUACGGUGUAGCGGUGAAAUGCGUAGAUAUCGUAAGGAAGACCAGUGGCGAAGGCGGGUCUCUGGACAGUUCCUGACGCUGAGGCACGAAGGCCAGGGGAGCAAACGGG
rnacentral:rRNA from 1 species